AAAAAUUACAAUGUCAUCAUCCAAAAUUGUCAUAGUUUGUAUCAUCCUCGUUUCACUUGCUAAUCUUCAUGAAUGUAGUUUAUUUAAAAGUGACAAGCCAUUGACCAAUCCGUUCACAGGAGAAAGGACAGGAAAACCACCAUGCAAACCAGGAAAAAAAAACUAUUUUGUCUGCACUUACAAUGCAAACAUUGAUUAUCUAGAAGAUGUCAGAAGCUGUUGGCUCCUUUGCCCAAAAAGCUAAUUUGACCCAACACCUCCUUUUCAAGGAUUUAUAAAAUUUGAAGACCAUUUUAAACACCAAUUUUUUUCUUUCAUAUAUAAAUAGUAAAUAAUCAUGUUACUACACUAAAGAAAAUUAUACAUACACCUUAGUAUUGCUUCGUAACU